UACAGAGGGUGCAAGCGUUAAUCGGAAUUACUGGGCGUAAAGGGCGCGUAGGCGGAUAUAUAAGUCGGAUGUGAAAGACCUGGGCUUAACCUGGGAAGUGCAUGUGAAACUGUGUAUCUGGAGUAGAGUAGAGGGGAGUGGAAUUUCCGGAGUAGCGGUGAAAUGCGUAGAUAUCGGAAGGAACACCAGUGGCGAAGGCGGCUCCCUGGACUCAUACUGACGCUGAGGCGCGAAAGCGUGGGUAGCAAACAGG
rnacentral:rRNA from 1 species